rnacentral:rRNA from 1 species
GACGAACGCUGGCGGCGUGCCUAAUACAUGCAAGUAGAACGUAGUUGCGAACGGGUGAGUAACGCGUAGGUAACUGCCUCAUAGCGGGGGAUAACUAUUGGAAACGAUAGCUAAUACCGCAUACUGUGAGAUGGACCUGCGUUGUAUUAGUUAGUUGGUGAGGUAAAGGGUCACCAAGGCGACGAUACAUAGCCGGCCUGAGAGGGUGGUCGGCCACACUGGGAAUGAGACACGGCCCAGGCUCCUAAGGGAGGGAACAGGAGGGGAACUUCGGCAAUGGGCGGAAGUCUGAACGAGCAACGCCGCGGGAGUGGAGAAGGUUUUCGGGUCGUAAAACUAUGUUGUGAGAGGAGCGGUAACUAACCAGAAAGGGACGGCUAACUACGUGCCAGCAGCCGCGGUAAUAC